rnacentral:rRNA from 1 species
UACGGGGGGGGCAAGCGUUGUUCGGAAUUACUGGGCGUAAAGGGCUCGUAGGCGGCCAACUAAGUCGGACGUGAAAUCCCUCGGCUUAACCGGGGAACUGCGUCCGAUACUGGAUGGCUUGAGUUUGGGAGAGGGAUGCGGAAUUCCUGGUGUAGCGGUGGAAUGCGCAGAUAUCAGGAGGAACACCGGUGGCGAAGGCGGGUCUCUGGGCAGUAACUGACGCUGAGGAGCGAAAGCGUGGGGAGCGAACAGG